GACGAACGCUGGCGGCGUGCUUAACACAUGCAAGUCGAACGGAAAGGCCCUGCUUUUGUGGGGUGCUCGAGUGGCGAACGGGUGAGUAACACGUGAGUAACCUGCCCUUGACUUUGGGAUAACUUCAGGAAACUGGGGCUAAUACCGGAUAGGAGCUCCUGCUGCAUGGUGGGGGUUGGAAAGUUUCGGCGGUUGGGGAUGGACUCGCGGCUUAUCCGCUUGUUGGUGGGGUAGUGGCCUACCAAGGCUUUGACGGGUAGCCGGCCUGAGAGGGUGACCGGCCACAUUGGGACUGAGAUACGGCCCAGACUCCUACGGGAGGCAGCAGUGGGGAAUAUUGCACAAUGGGCGGAAGCCUGAUGCAGCAACGCCGCGUGCGGGAUGACGGCCUUCGGGUUGUAAACCGCUUUCGCCUGUGACGAAGCGUGGGUGACGGUAAUGGGUAAAGAAGCACCGGCUAACUACGUG
rnacentral:rRNA from 1 species